rnacentral:rRNA from 1 species
ACGGGUGAGUAACGCGUGGGAAUCUACCGUACCCUACGGAAUAGCUCCGGGAAACUGGAAGUAAUACCGUAUACGCCCUUCGGGGGAAAGAUUUAUCGGGGUAUGAUGAGCCCGCGUUGGAUUAGCUAGUUGGUGGGGUAAAGGCCUACCAAGGCGACGAUCCAUAGCUGGUCUGAGAGGAUGAUCAGCCACAUUGGGACUGAGACACGGCCCAAACUCCUACGGGAGGCAGCAGUGGGGAAUAUUGGACAAUGGGGGCAACCCUGAUCCAGCCAUGCCGCGUGAGUGAUGAAGGUCUUAGGAUUGUAAAGCUCUUUCACCGAUGAAGAUAAUGACGGUAGUCGGAGAAGAAGCCCCGGCAAACUUCGUGCCAGCAGCCGCGGUAAUACGAAGGGGGCUAGCGUUGUUCGGAAUUACUGGGCGUAAAGCGCACGUAGGCGGAUAAUUAAGUCAGGGGUGAAAUCCCGCAGCUCAACUGCGGAACUGCCUUUGAUACUGGUUGUCUUGAGUAUGGAAGAGGUAAGUGGAAUUGCGAGUGUAGAGGUGAAAUUCGUAGA